GCAAACACAAAACAUCUUUAAAAGAAAGAAAGAAAGAAAGAAAGAAAAGCAACGUUCGGGAGUUCUGUGAUUUCUGUGUGAUUUCUGUGAUUCCUCUGAAUUUUUUUC
rnacentral:ribozyme from 1 species